rnacentral:lncRNA from 1 species
AUCCAAAUUGACUCGAUCAUUUUUCCACCAUAAAUAUUACUGAUGCAUUCAAAAAAACGGGUGCCUAAAUUUUAGAAAAAACUUUAAAAAUUCACCCAUAUGGUUUCGUAAUUUUUCACUUUAGUACUCUGUGGUUUAAAGUAUAUCCAUUUGCCCCCCUGUGAUUUUAUUUUUAUCUCUUCGGCAGUUUUUUUCUUAAUAUUUCGUUAAAUUAUAUACAAAAAACUUCAUAUACCCAUCUAGAUUUAUCGAAUAUUUACUUUAGUACUCUUUAAUUUUAACUUUGUCACUGAUUUAAAAAAUAAUAAUAAUAAAAUUGAUAAUAAAAAGAGAAAAACGAAACCACAAGGGGGCAAAUUAAUACACUUUAAACCACAAGGUACUAAAGUGAGAAAGUGUGAAACCAUAUGGGAGGUUUUUGAAAUUUUUUUAAAAUUUUAUAUUCUUUAUUUUAAAAAAAAUUUAAAAAAUUAAUAUUUUUGGACUAAUUCUAAUUUUUUUAUAUAAUUUGUACUAAUUCUUUUUUACUUUUAUUUUUAUUUUUGGACUGUUAAUUAGAUCUCUUCGAGGGCACUAAUGAGUAGUUCUAGUGUGAAAUAUUGUACCUUAAUUGCAUGGGCCCUUUGAAUCUAUUUUCCUGCACCAAACAAAAUUGUCCCUAUCAUUGUGAUGGCUGAGAACUUGUAAUUUGGUUCAUUCCAUUGUCCUGUUUAAUUAGUCCCAUGUUUAAUUGAUCGAAAUAAUACUAAAUAAUAUUUUAAUUAACACUUUUUUAUUUCAUAUUUUGAUACACUAAUUGAAGAAAAAUGGUUACUCGUGCAUCUUAGGCUUAGUUUGGUAUUAAGGCAUAUCUAACGUUAUUAGAUAAAAUGAAGUUGAGGAAAAAGUAUAUAGAAAUAUGCUUCUACGUUCACCGAUGGGACCAUAGAAAAUAUAUAUCGUAACCGCCACAUCGCGAUAUGCAGAACGCAAUAUUACGUAAAUAUUUUUCUAACGUACUUUAUCACCGCACGUAACACAAUCUUCCCGCAAUUCCAAACGAAGCCUAGUCUAUACGGAUGUAAAUCUUAUAUUUCUUCUAUUCAAAAAUUCACAACUCUUUAAAUUAAAAAAAUAAAAUUAGUAAAAUCAAAAACAGCCUUUAGAU